rnacentral:rRNA from 1 species
GACGAACGCUGGCGGCGUGCCUAACACAUGCAAGUUGAGCGACGAACCAGGGCUUGCCCUGGGGCAAAGCAGCGAACGGGUGAGUAACACGUGGGUAACCUGCCCCGAUAACCGGGACAACCCGAGGAAACUCGGGCUAAUACCGGAUGUGCUCGUCAGACCCAAGUCUGACGCGUAAAGGAAGCUUCGGCCUCCGUAUCGGGAGGGGCCCGCGGCCCAUUAGUUAGUUGGUGAGGUAACGGCUCACCAAGACCGCGAUGGGUAGCUGGUCUGAGAGGACGAUCAGCCACACUGGGACUGAGACACGGCCCAGACUCCUACGGGUGGCAG